UACGUAGGGGGCAAGCGUUGUCCGGAUUUAUUGGGCGUAAAGAGCUCGUAGGUGGUUCGGUAAGUCGGAUGUGAAAUCUCCAGGCUCAACCUGGAGGGGUCAUUCGAUACCGCCGUGACUAGAGGUCGGUAGGGGAGUGUGGAAUUCCUGGUGGAGCGGUGAAAUGCGCAGAUAUCAGGAGGAACACCCGUAGCGAAGGCGGCACUCUGGGCCGAUACUGACACUGAGGAGCGAAAGCGUGGGGAGCGAACAGG
rnacentral:rRNA from 1 species